rnacentral:rRNA from 1 species
CUACGGGAUGCACCAGUGGGGAAUAUUGGACAAUGGGGGAAACCCUGAUCCAGCAAUGCCGCGUGUGUGAAGAAGGCCUGCGGGUUGUAAAGCACUUUCGGUUGGGAGGACUGCUUCUAGCACUAAUAUUGUUGGAAGUUGACGUUACCUUCAGAAGAAGCACCGGCUAACUCCGUGCCAGCAGCCGCGGUAAUACGGAGGGUGCAAGCGUGAAUCGGAAUUACUGGGCGUAAAGCGCGCGUAGGCGGCUAGAUCAGUCGGGUGUGAAAGCCCCGGGCUUAACCUGGGAACUGCAUCCGAUACUGUCUAGCUUGAGUACAGGAGAGGAGAGUGGAAUUCCAGAUGUAGCGGUGAAAUGCGUAGAUAUGUGGAGGAACACCAAUGGCGAAGGCAGCUCUCUGGCCUGAUACUGACGCUGAGGUGCGAAAGCGUGGGGAGCAAACAGGAUUAGAUACCCUUGUAGUC